GAAAACUGGACAUUUUGAGUAGUAUAAACGUGGCUAUUUUAGAAAUAAUUUUCCUCCCUCCUUAGGUUUUGUUUCCACUUGUUGCAUGUUGCUGUUGUUUGCUCAUUAGUGACUUUUCUAAAGUAUUUUGAAAAGUCUGUGUUCUUGAUCAUGUGGGUCCAUUGAAUUCUGUAUUCUGUUAAUUUCAUAGUCAGCUAGUGUUCUGAAAGUUCCCUUAAGUGCAUAGAGCCAAUAAAAGAAAAAGAAAAGAAACACAGAAAAAGAAAAGAGGAAAAAAGGAGGGAAAGAGAUUUAAAAAAAUAAUGUCGGUUGGGCAUGGUGGCUCAUGCCUGUAAUCCCAGCACUUUUGGGAGGCCGAGGCAGGCAAAUCACUUAAGGUUGACCAUCCUGGCCAACACGGAGAAACCUUGUCUCUACUGAAAAUAUAAAAUUAGCCGGGCAUGGUGGCACAUGCCUGUAAUCCCAGCUACUCGGGAGGCUGAGAGGUAGGAGAAUCACUUGAACUCGGGAGGUGGAGGUUGCAGUGAACUGAGAUCACACCACUGCACUCCAGCCUGGGCAACAAGAAUGAAACUCCAUCUCAAAAAAAAAUAAUAAUAAUAAUGCCUUUGCCGAUUUGCUCUGUGUUUGGGCCCUCAUUCAAUGCCUAGUCAGGCCAUUUACAACUCUCUCUUAACUUUCACUACCUGCUUGUGUACUGACUGAAGGCCACCUAUAGGUGAAAGCUUAACAUCAUCUCAGAUCUUUUUGGACCAUGAAUCCUACCCUGGGUAUGCACAUGAUCUUCUUAAUUUCCCAGUAGAUGCAAGAGUUUUAGUGUUUUAAAAGUCCUUAUUCCCUCAUCUAUCUUCUUUUCUGACCUUUUUCAGUCUGCUUAUUGUUCAUCUGAACUGACAUCCUUUGCCCCAAGCGGCUGUGGCAAAAACUUUUACCUUUAAAUGCUUUCACCACAAGCCACUUGGGAAGCUGCCCCAGACCUGGGACUGCUCUGACCCUGAUGAAACAAAGACAAGACCUUGUACAGCCAGGCAGCCAUAAGACAAGUCCAUACCCAAACCACAGUUCUUUCAGAAUAAGGUCUAUAUUGGAUUCUCUGGCCCUAGUAACCAGCAUGAGUCUGGGCUUGCCAUCUUCAUGGCCACUUGUCUUAGUUUGCUAGGGCUGCCAUAACAAAAUAUGAGAGACUGAGUGGCUUAAACAAGAGAAAUUUAUUUUUUCACAAUUCUGAAGACCAGAAGUCCAUUACUCUGAAAUCUCUCUCCUUGGCUUGCAGAUACUGCCUUCUUGCCGUGUCCUCACACAGCCUUUUCUCUGUGUACACAUCCCUGGUGUUUUUUAAGCCUGUCCAAAUUUUCUGUUCUUCUGAGGACACCAAUCAGAUUGGAUUAGCGACCACCCAUAUGAUCAUUUUACCUUAAGUACCUCUUCAAAGGUAUCAGAGUAGUAUAUUUGCUACAGUUGAUGAACCUGCAUACAACAUCAUCACUUGAGGUCUGCAGUUUACAUUAGAGUUCAUCGUUAGUGUUAUAUAUUCUAGGGUUUGUUUUGUUUUGAGACAGAACAGAGUCUUGCUGUGUUACCCAGGCUGGAGCGCAGUGGUACAAUCUCAUUGCUACCUCUGCUUCCCAGAUUCAAGCAAUUCUCAUACCUCAGCCUCCUAAGUAGCUGGAACUACAGGCGCACACCACCAUGCCCAGCUAAUUUUCGUAUUUUUAGUGGAGAUGGGGUUUCACCAUGUUGGCCAGGCAGGUCUUGAACUCCUUGCCUCAAGUGAUCUGCCCGCCUCAGCCUCCCCCAGUGUUGGGAUAACAGGCAUGAGUCACCAUGCCUGGCCUUAUUCUAUGGGUUUUGAAAUGUAUAAUGACAUGUAUCCAUCGUUGUAGUAUUAGAUAGAAUAGCUUCAUUACCCUAAAAGUCUUCUUUGCACUGGGUUGAGUUUUAAAAGCUCUUUGAUUAUUUUAUGACAGUUCCUUAUUAGAUAUAUCUUUUGCAAGUAUUUUUAUCAGUCUGUGGUUAUCUUGUCUUUUACAGAGCAGUAAUUUUUAAUUUUAAUAAAAUCCAAUUUGUCAAUUACUUAUCUCAUAUGACUCUGGUGUUACAUCUAAAAUGUUACCACCAUACUCAAGGUCACCUAGGUUUUCUCUAGGAAUUUUAUGGUUUUGCAUUUUACAUUUGGUGUAUGACCCAUUUGAAGUUAAUUUUUGUGAGGUUGUAAGGUCUGUGCCUAGAUUCAUUUUUUUUUUUUUUGGCAUGUUACUUCAGUAUUCAUAAGAAACAUUGUUCUGUAAUCUUCUUUCUUAUAGUAUCUUAGUCUUGCUUUAGUUUUUGGGCAAUGCUGGCCUCACUGAAUAAAUUCAAAGUGUUCCCUCCUCUUCAAUUAUUUGGAAAAGUUUGAGAAAGACUAUUGUUAACUGUUUUCUAAAUUUUUGGUGGAAUUUACCAGUGAACCAACUGGUCCUAGGCUUUUCUCCAGUAGGUGGUUUUGAUUAUGCUUUCAAUCUCUUUACAAGUUACACAUCUAUACAGACUUUUAUAAUUCAGUCUUGGUAGGUUGUGCGUAUUUAGGAAUCUGACCACUUCAUCUAAGUUAUCCAAUUAGUUGGCAUGCAAUUAUUCGUAGUUCUCUGAAUAAUCAUUUUUAUUUCCACAAAAUUGGUAAUAUCCCAGUUUCCAUUUUUUAUUUCAUUGAAUCUUCUUUUUUCUUAGCUAAUCUAGCUAAAUGUUUGCCAAUUUUGUUGAUCUUUUGGAAGAACCAACUUUUGAUUUAUUAAUUUUCUCUACUCUUUUUCUGUUCUUUAUAUUAUUUAUUUCCACACUAAUCUUUACUAUUUUCUUCCUUCUGUUGGCCUUUAAUUUUUUUUUUUUAAUUUUUAAGGUGUAAAUUUAGGUUGAGAAAUUUUUUAAAUGAAAGCAUUUAGAGCUAUAAAUUUUCCUUCUGGUGUUCCUUUCACUACCUGCCAUAAAUUUUGAUAUGUUGAGUUUUUGUUUGUCUUGGAGUAUUUUCUAAUUUGUCUUCUAAUUUCUUCCUUGACCUAUUGGUUAUUUAAAUGUAUUUAAUUUUUGCAUAUUGUGGAUUUCCCAGUUUUCCUUCUGUUAUUGAUUUCUAGUUUUAUUCCAUUGUGAUCACAGAAGAUAUUUUGUAUAAUCGCAGUCUAUUAACAUUUAUUAAGUCUUGUGGCCUAACAGAGGAUCUAUGUUGGAGAAUGUUCCAAGUGCAAUUGAGAAUACUAUUCUGGUGCUAUUAGGUGAAGUAUUCUCUAUAUGUCUGUUAAGUCCAAUUCAUCUAUAGUGUUGACGUUUCCUGUUCCUUACUGAUUUUCUGACUUAUUAUUCUAUCCAUUAUUAAAAGUGGAGUGGUAAAGUCUCUAUUAUUGUAGAACUCUCUGUUUUUCAAGUCUAUCAAUAUCUGUUUCAUAUAUUUUGGAGCUCUGUUUGCUGCAUAUGUGUUUACAAUUGUUAUAUCUUCUUGGCAAAUUGACCAGUUUCAUCAACAUAAAAUAUAAUUCUUAUUGUCUUCUAACAGUUUAUUUUUCUUUUUACAUAAAGCCUAUUUUAUCUGAUCUUAGAUUCCCUCACACUCCACCCCAGCACGCUUUUGGUUACAUUUACAUAAUAUAUCUUUUCCAUCCUUUCAUUUUCAACCUGUUUGUGUCUUUAGAUCUAAAGUGAAUGUCUUACAGACAGCAUAAGCUAUGUCAUUAAAAAAAUCCAUUCUGCUUAUCUCUGCCUUUUGACUGGGGAGUUUAAUCCAUUUGCAUUUAAAGUAAUCACUGAUCAUUAAAUACUUUCAGUAUUUUGUUGUUUUAUGUAUGUCUUAUAACUCUUUUGCUCUUCAUUUCCUUCAAUAUUGCCUUUGUGUUUAGCUUAUCUUUUUGUGUCACACUUUGAUCCCCUUCUCAUUUCUUUUUUAUAUUUUCUUUGUGGUUACCAGGAGGACAAUGUAUCAACUUUUAAAGUUAUUACAAUUUUAUUUUUUUAAAUCUCUCCCAUUCGGGGAUUUUAGGAAGGUUAAAUAAUAAUGUAAAUGAGAUACCUAGAACAAUAUAAGCAUUCAGGAAUUAUUAACUCAAUUCCAAUCCUUCCUCCACCUCCACCUCUUUCUCUGUGAGAUUAUAGAAAAGAUGACAAAAAGGAUGUUUUCUGAGCCCUUUAAUUGUUGAGAAUGAUCUUUGAGAAAAAGAAAAAAAAUGAAAGCACUAGGAAUGUACAACAGCCUGGAAGUAUAAUUAAGUGUAAAUUAAAUAGAUAAAAGUUAUAAGCAGAGGAAAGUAUAGUAGAACUCAGUAUUUAAAAGAGAAUCAAUGUGAAAAUUAUAUAAAUUUAUGUAAAAUAAAACUACCAGACAAAUCUGAUAUCCUUAGGAUUUUUCUUUCUUUCAUGUGAUUUCUAAUUGCUACAUAUGACACUAAACCAUUGAUCUGAGCUGUAAGAGAAACUGGAAAUUGUUCUGUUAUCUUUUGUAAGAUUUCUAGAACAUUUUGCCCUCAGACUUAAAUGCCAACGUAUUUCUCACUUAUUGUUUACUGCUUUUGGAUUUACAUAUGAUUUGAUUCUUUCUUAUCUCUUAUCCUUACAAUGUAAUUCAAACUGAUGCCAAUUUAAGUUCAAUUGCGUACAAAAACUCUACUCCUAUGCAGCUCCGCCCCAUCUAAUUUACAUUAUUGAUGUCGCAAAUUCCAUCUUUGUACAUAGUUUACAUAUUAACAUGGAUUUAUACAUUUUUAUGUAUUUGGUUUUUAAAUCCUGUAGAAAAUAAAAAGUCAACACACCAAUAUUAAAAUAAUACUGGUUUUUAUAUUUGUCCAUGUGCUUACCUUUAUCAGUGUUCUUUACAUCUUUAUACGGGUUUGAGUUACUGUCUUGUGUCCUUUAGUUCCAACCUAAAGAACUCCCUUUAGCAUUUUUAUAGGGCAGGUCUAGUGGUAAUGAACUCUCUGAGUUUUUAUUUAGGGAUGUCUUAAUUUCUAGCUCCUGUUUGAAGUAAAUUUUUCUGGAUAUACAAUUCUCUGUUGAUUGAUUUUUGUUCAUUUUCCCUUCAGCUCUUUUAAAUACAUUAUCCCACUUUCUUCUGCCUUCCAAGGUUUCUAUUAACAAAAUUCAGCUUAUAAUCUUAUUAAAGAUCUCAUGUACAUGAGUGGCUUCUCUCUUGCUGUUUUCAAGAUUCUGUGACUUUGGUUUCUGAUAGUUUAAAUAUAAUGUGUCUUAUUGUGGGUCUCUUUGGAUUUAUCCUAGAGUUUCUUGGUCUUCUUACGUUGGUAUAUCCAUGUAUUUCAAGACAUUUGAGUAGUUUUCAGCCAUUAUUUCUUCAAACAAUCUCUCCUCUUUGGGGACUUCCAUUUUACCUAUAUUGGUUCUUUUGAUGGUGUGGCACCAGUCCCCUAGACUUUGUUCACUUUUUUCCAGUCUUUUAUUUCUGCUUCUCAGACUCAACAGCUUCAAGUGUUCUGUAUUCAAGUCUGCUGACUCUUUCUUCUUCCAGCUCAAAUCUGCUGUUGGAUCCCCCCUUGUAAAAUUUUUAAUUCCAUUUUAGUGUUUUUCAAGUUAAGUAUUUUUAUUAGGUUCCUUUUUAUAAUUUCUUUUUGUUGAUAUUCUCAUUUUAUUACACAUAAUUUGUCUGAUUUCCAUUAGUUUUUUUCUUUGUUUUCCUUUAGCUCUUUGAAAAUAUUUAAGACAUUUUAAAAGUCUUUAUCCAAGUUCAAUUUCUAUGGUUCUGUAGAGAUAUUUUCUGCCAGUUUAUGUUCUUCUUUUCCAUGGGCCAUGUUUUCCUGUUUCUUUGUAUACUUUCUAAUUUUUGGUUGAAAACUGAGCAUUUGAAAAUAGAGCCAACUUUCCCAGUUUCUGCAGAGAGUCUUUAUGCCACAGUAUUCGUUCACUGAUUAACUGGGUAUAUCUAAGCUUAGGGAGCAGCUGAGUCAAAAGUUUAAGGUCUUCUCAGGUCUUUUCUGAGUAUACAUGUUUCCUAUGCCUGUGUGAAAUGUUCUCAAUUUCCCUAUAUAAACAGCUACUUCUUCUUUUUUUUUUUUUUUUGAGAUGGAGUCUCGCUCUGUCACCCAGGCUGGAGUGCAGUCAUCUCAGCUCACUGCAUCCUCCACCUCCCAGGUUCAAACAAUUCUCCUAUACAGGUGUGUGCCACCACGUCUGGCCAAUUUUUGUAUUUUUAGUAGAGACAGGGUUUCGCCGUGUUGGCCAGGCUGGUCUCAAUCUCCUGACCUCAGGAGGAUUACAGGCUUGAGCCACAGUGUCCAGCCUAAACAGCUACUUUUGAAUGCUUUAAUUUCCUGAAUAGUCUCAACCCAGUUUUUCCUUGAGGUCUUAGGUGGUCCAUUGUAUGUCUCCACCCAUAGUUGCUUGCCCCAGGCAUCUGUGGGUCUGUGGUACCACUGCAGCUUUCACCACCUGUAGCUGCCACCUUUCCCUAUCUGAGAUCCAGGUUAGGUGAGAGAGAUCAUUCCUUCACGCAGUCCCAUGACAGGUUGGAACAUUUCAAAUAAGGUCUGUUCUGCUCCUCUGGUUGAAGGGAGAAAAUUGGGAACCGGUUUCCCACCUUCUACAAACCAAGAUCUCAUGUUGCCACGGGAGUGGCAGGGCAAGUGCAAGUGAAAAUGCCAUACAAUUUUCUACCAUUUUGAACGCGGGUUUUUCUUCAAUGGUCAUUUGCUUGGUUGCUGUAGGCCUUUCACUGUUUUCCAGAGCUCCCAUAAGAUUACUUUAGCCAGUUUUUUGUUCUUUCCUGAUGCUUCCCUGGCAGAGUAAGGGUUGGAACUUCCACCAUUUUGCUGAUUCAUAACUCUGUAGUCAGUUUUAAAUAUAUUGAUACUUGAGUUUGUUUUAUGGCCCAGAAUAUGGUCUUGGUAAAUGUUUCACAUAUACUCAGAAAGAAUGUGUAUUCUGAUGUUGUUACAUGGGCUGUUCUAUAAAUGUUACUUAAGGUGGUUAAUAAUGUUGCUCAAGUCUUCUAUAUUCUUGCUGAUUUUCUUUUAUUUAUUUAUUUUAUUUUUUUUAUUAUACUUUUAAGUUCUAGGGUACAUGUGCACAACAUGCAGGUUUGUUAUAUAUGUAUACAUGUGCCAUGUUGGUGUGCUGCAUCCAUUAACUCAUCAUUUACAUUAGGUAUAUCUCCUAAUGCUGUCCCUCCCUGCUCCCCCCACCCCAUGACAGGCCCCAGUGUGUGAUGUUCCCCUUUCCUGUGUCCAAGCGUUCUCAUUGUUCAAUUCCCACCUAUGAGUGAGAACUUGCGGUGUUUGUUUUUUUGUCCUUGUGAUAGUUUGCUGAGAAUGAUGGUUUCCAGCUUCAUCCAUGUCCCUACAAAGGACGUGAACUCAUCCUUUUUUAUGACUGCAUAGUAUUCCAUGGUGUAUAUGUGCUACAUUUUCUUAAUCCAGUCUAUCAUUGAUGGACAUUUGGGUUGGUUCCAAGUCUUUGCUAUUGUGAACAGUGCUGCAAUGAACAUACGUGUGCAUGUGUCUUUAUAGCAGCAUGAUUUAUAAUCCUUUGAGUAUAUACUCAGUAAUGGGAUGGGUGGGUCAAAUGGUAUUUCUAGUUCUAGAUCUUGAGGAAUCACCACACUGUCUUCCACAAUGGUUGAACUAGUUUACAGUCCCACCAACAGUGUAAAAGUGUUCCUAUUUCUUCACAUCCUCUCCAGCACCUGUUGUUUCCUGACUUUUUAAUGAUCGCCAUUCUAACUGGUGUGAGAUGGGAUCUCAUUGUGGUUUUGAUCUGCAUUUUUCUGAUGGCCAGUGAUGAUGAGCAUUUUUUCAUGUGUCUUUGGCUGCAUAAAUGUCUUCUUUUGAGAAGUGUCUGUUCAUAUCCUUUGCCCACUUUUUGAUGGGGUUGUUUUGUUCUUGUAUAUUUGUUUGAGUUCUUUGUAGAUUCUGGAUAUUAGCCCUUUGUCAGAUGAGGAGAUUGCAAAAAUUUUCUCCCAUUCUGUAGGUUGGCUGUUCACUCUGAUGGUAGUUUCUUUUGCUGUGCAGAAGCUCUUUAGUUUAAUGAGACCCCAUUUGUCAAUUUUGGCUUUUGUUGCCAUUGCUUUUGGUGUUUUAGACAUGAAGUCCUCGCCCAUGCCUAUGUCCUGAAUGGUAUUG
rnacentral:lncRNA from 1 species